rnacentral:snRNA from 1 species
AGCUUUGAGCAGUGGGAGUAUUGUAGCCAAUGAGAUUUAUCCAAGGCAUGAUUAUUGUUAAUUGAAAACUUUGCCUUUACCAUC